rnacentral:rRNA from 1 species
AGCGAACGCUGGCGGCAGGCCUAACACAUGCAAGUCGAACGAACCCUUCGGGGUUAGUGGCGGACGGGUGAGUAACACGUGGGAACGUGCCUUUAGGUUCGGAAUAACUCAGGGAAACUUGUGCUAAUACCGAAUGUGCCCUUCGGGGGAAAGAUUUAUCGCCUUUAGAGCGGCCCGCGUCUGAUUAGCUAGUUGGUGAGGUAAUGGCUCACCAAGGCUACGAUCAGUAGCUGGUCUGAGAGGAUGACCAGCCACAUUGGGACUGAGACACGGCCCAAACUCCUACGGGAGGCAGCAGUGGGGAAUCUUGCGCAAUGGGCGAAAGCCCGACGCAGCCAUGUCGCGUGGAUGAUGAAGGUCUUAGGAUUGUAAAAUCCUUUCACCGGUGAAGAUAAUGACUGUAGCCGGAGAAGAAGCCCCGGCUAACUUCGUGCCAGCAGCCGCAGUAAUAC